UCCUAUUCUCACCACAUGACUCAUCACUCUCUAAUUGAGCAUGGAUGGUCAUUAGAAUGUCAAGGUAAACCCCAUCCUGAACUCCGGCCAUUCAUACGAUCAAUCACGACAAACUACAGUGGCACCACCAUGUAACCUCCCUUGAGGAUCAUGGAAUUACGUCCAAUAACCAUACUUUUACUUUGAAACUUAACUCAACACAUGAACCACC
rnacentral:lncRNA from 1 species